rnacentral:rRNA from 1 species
GAUGAAUGCUGGCGGCGUGCCUAAUACAUGCAAGUCGAGCGGCAGCGCGUCUAGUUUACUAGAUGGCGGCGAGCGGCGGACGGCUGAGUAACGCGUAGGAAUGUGCCCCAAAGUGAGGAAUAACUGCCCGAAAGGGUAGCUAAUGCCGCAUAUGGUCUUCGGAUUAAAGGAUUUAUCCGCUUUGGGAGCAGCCUGCGUACGAUUAGAUAGUUGGUGAGGUAAUGGCUCACCAAGUCGACGAUCGUUAGCUGGUCUGAGAGGAUGAUCAGCCAGACUGGAACUGAGACACGGUCCAGACUCCUACGGGAGGCAGCAGUAAGGAAUCUUCCACAAUGGGCGAAAGCCUGAUGGAGCAACGCCGCGUGCAGGAUGAAGGCCUUGGUGUAAACUGCUUUAUGAGUGAAGAAUAUAGACGGUAACUCAAUGAAUAAGCACCGGCUAACUACGU